AACGCACGAGACCUGCGGACCUGCGGAAGGAUCAUUAAUGAGAAACUGCCCCUCGCGGGUAGAUCUCCCACCCUUUGUAAACUUACCUUUGUUGCUUUGGCAGGCCCGUCUCCGGACCGCCGGCUUCGGCUGGCCAGUGCCUGCCAGAGGAUUCUAAAACUCUGUCUGUCAGUGUUGUCUGAGUCUAUAUACGAUCGUUAAAACUUUCAGCAACGGAUCUCUAGAUCGGAAGAGCACACG
rnacentral:misc_RNA from 1 species